rnacentral:misc_RNA from 1 species
UUGAACUUUAAUGAAGAGUUUGGUUGUAGCUGGCCCAUUCAUUUGGGCAUGUGCACACCUUCCUCUUUCAUCCCACACACACCUGUGAACCUGUGAGACAGAGAUGGGGAAUUUACUUGCUGCUUUUUGGAAUACAAAGGCAAUAGGUUAUUGGACCCCCCCUCAUGUCUACUCAAUUAAUAUAAACUCAAUUUAUUUUAAAACGAAUGUAAUGGAUGUAACACAUCUCAUAU